rnacentral:rRNA from 1 species
ACGCUGGCGGCAGGCCUAACACAUGCAAGUCGAGCGGUAGAGAGAAGCUUGCUUCUCUUGAGAGCGGCGGACGGGUGAGUAAUGCCUAGGAAUCUGCCUGGUAGUGGGGGAUAACGUUCGGAAACGGACGCUAAUACCGCAUACGUCCUACGGGAGAAAGCAGGGGACCUUCGGGCCUUGCGCUAUCAGAUGAGCCUAGGUCGGAUUAGCUAGUUGGUGAGGUAAUGGCUCACCAAGGCGACGAUCCGUAACUGGUCUGAGAGGAUGAUCAGUCACACUGGAACUGAGACACGGUCCAGACUCCUACGGGAGGCAGCAGUGGGGAAUAUUGGACAAUGGGCGAAAGCCUGAUCCAGCCAUGCCGCGUGUGUGAAGAAGGUCUUCGGAUUGUAAAGCACUUUAAGUUGGGAGGAAGGGCAGUUACCUAAUACGUGAUUGUUUUGACGUUACCGACAGAAUAAGCACCGGCUAACUCUGUGCCAGCAGCCGCGGUAAUACAGAGGGUGCAAGCGUUAAUCGGAAUUACUGGGCGUAAAGCGCGCGUAGGUGGUUUGUUAAGUUGGAUGUGAAAUCCCCGGGCUCAACCUGGGAACUGCAUUCAAAACUGACUGACUAGAGUAUGGUAGAGGGUGGUGGAUUUUCCUGUGUAGCGGUGAAAUGCGUAGAUAUAGGAAGGAACACCAGUGGCGAAGGCGACCACCUGGACUGAUACUGACACUGAGGUGCGAAAGCGUGGGGAGCAAAC